rnacentral:rRNA from 1 species
GACGAACGCUGGCGGCACGCUUAACACAUGCAAGUCGAACGAGAGAAGAGAAGCUUGCUUUUCUGAUCUAGUGGCGGACGGGUGAGUAACACGUGAGCAAUCUGCCUUUCAGAGGGGGAUACCGAUUGGAAACGAUCGUUAAUACCGCAUAACAUAAUUGAACCGCAUGAUUUGAUUAUCAAAGAUUUAUCGCUGAAAGAUGAGCUCGCGUCUGAUUAGCUAGUUGGUAAGGUAACGGCUUACCAAGGCGACGAUCAGUAGCCGGACUGAGAGGUUGAUCGGCCACAUUGGGACUGAGACACGGCCCAGACUCCUACGGGAGGCAGCAGUGGGGAAUAUUGCACAAUGGAGGAAACUCUGAUGCAGUGAUGCCGCGUGAGGGAAGAAGGUUUUAGGAUUGUAAACCUCUGUCUUCAGGGACGAAAAAAGACGGUACCUGAGGAGGAAGCUCCGGCUAACUACGUGCCAGCAGCCGCGGUAAUACGUAGGGAGCGAGCGUUGUCCGGAAUUACUGGGUGUAAAGGGAGCGUAGGAGGGAUCGCAAGUCAGAUGUGAAAACUAUGGGCUUAACCCAUAAACUGCAUUUGAAACUGUGGUUCUUGAGUGAAGUAGAGGUAAGCGGAAUUCCUAGUGUAGCGGUGAAAUGCGUAGAUAUUAGGAGGAACAUCAGUGGCGAAGGCGGCUUACUGGGCUUUAACUGACGCUGAGGCUCGAAAGCGUGGGGAGCAAACAGGAUUAGAUACCCUGGUAGUCCACGCCGAAAACGAUGAUUACUAGGUGUGGGGGGACUGACCCCUUCCGUGCCGCAGCAAACGCAAUAAGUAAUCCACCUGGGGAGUACGACCGCAAGGUUGAAACUCAAAGGAAUUGACGGGGGCCCGCACAAGCAGUGGAGUAUGUGGAUUAAUUCGAAGCAACGCGAAGAACCUUACCAGGUCUUGACAUCGUAUGCAUAGCUCAGAGAUGAGUGAAAUCUCUUCGGAGACAUAUAGACAGGUGGUGCAUGGUUGUCGUCAGCUCGUGUCGUGAGAUGUUGGGUUAAGUCCCGCAACGAGCGCAACCCUUACUGUUAGUUGCUACGCAAGAGCACUCUAGCAGGACUGCCGUUGACAAAACGGAGGAAGGUGGGGAUGACGUCAAAUCAUCAUGCCCCUUAUGACCUGGGCCUCACACGUACUACAAUGGCUGUCAACAGAGGGAAGCAAAGCCGCGAGGUGGAGCAAACCCCUAAAAGCAGUCUUAGUUCGGAUUGUAGGCUGCAACCCGCCUACAUGAAGUCGGAAUUGCUAGUAAUCGCAGAUCAGCAUGCUGCGGUGAAUACGUUCCCGGGCCUUGCACA